GAGCGGCUGACGUUCUGCGUCGGGUACCCCAGGAGCCAAGUCGCCGCAGGCCCCUCCGCCGACCCCGCCGCCGUUGCCGUAGCCGAAGGCACCGCGGGCGCCGCCAGCCCCGGAGCCCCCGCAGCAGCAGCAGACGAGCCCCCAGAUGCCUACGGCCAGGCAGCCCAGCGCGAGCAGAGAGCCCAGGACGAUGCCGAUGAUCACGCCUAUACGCCGGGAGUCUGUGGAGAGAAGUGGAGGCAGGUCAGGCUUUCUCACAGCCUGCUCCAGGCCAAGAGAACAACAGCUCAUUCCUGAGAUAAGGAUCCUGCUGCCAUCUGCCAGAUCCUGAGGCUGCUCAAGGCAAGCCAGGGAUGAGCCAGAACUCGGCUGAGAGCAGAGGCUCCACCCUGGAGAAGCACCGCUGGAAGCACCCACACAGGAAGGACUCUCUCCAUGCCAUAGGAGCCUGCCAGGCAGGAUGCACUAAGGAAGUACUACAGGGAAUGUGAGAGGAGAGGCUGGAGAGAGGGAAGAAAGGCAAAGUGGAAGAGAGAGCUGGAUGGGAGACUUGAGGAGAGACAGGAAUGGAGGAAUCACAUGGGCUCUCCAAGGAAGAGGACAGUGGUGAUUCUUUGCCCCCCAAAAGCACCAGAAACUGGCCAUGCUUUACGGGGUGUCAUCUCAAUAGUGGUGCCUACUCUCUGCUUGCAAAUUCUUUCUGAAUCUUCAAGGUGCUUCCAGAACUCCUGAUCUUCCCUCUGGAGGUAAGGGAGGGGAGAAAAGGCGGCUCCAGCUGAGGGUAUUGAUGCGUUAAUGCAGCCAGUGCUGAGUUGUCCUCACACACCCAUUGACACACCACACAGGGGGAAGUCCGGGUCCCCACAGCACAGCUGGAGCCUCCCGAGUGGACUCUGCCAGCCCUGCUCUCAUCAGACAGAGAAGGGCUGCAGCUAUCCUGCCGGAAAUGUCAUCAUUCCCAUGCAGGUGCACGCACCCACACACUCACAUACACAUUCACGCUCACACAAAGGCUGAAAAUGUCACCCCGCCUUCCCAAAUUCCUCCUUCAUGCCCCUUCAUCCCAAAUCCAGACUGCAAGAGGGACUCGGAGCCCUUUCCAGUGAUGUUGGCAUAGAAUGCCCCUUGGUGGAACUUGCCCCAACCUGGGCAGGAAGCCACAAUGUCCAAACUUGAGCCCUGCCCUGUGGACCUGUCCUGGUGGGGUGAGAAGUCUCUGGAGUUGCCAUCCCCACCACCCUCAGGCCUCAUCCUAGAGUGGGGCACUGCCCUGUCAUAGCACAGGGGGCCCAAGGCUGAGGUCUCAGGCCUGAGCUGUCACUGGCCAUGAUGGAAGAAACCACUCAGACUUACACCAGACUUAGUCUCUUGCCCUUUCAAGGCAAGUGACUUCCCUGCCCCUUGGCCCUGGCCUUGGGAGAGAAGGAGUAGCGUUGGGAAUAGCACACAGUCUGAUGAAAAUUGAUCCUUCCCAAGCUCCUCCUGAGCCCUCACCCAAUGCCCGUGCUUACCCCUCUCCUACCCCACCUCCAGCUCCUGCAGAGCAAUCAAUCCCUCUCCUCCUAGUCACGGCAUGAGCUUGCAGGGCACCUGCACACAUGUGUGAGCCCGACAGGGGACAUAUAAAGAUCCACUCAAAGACCUCUGCACUACAGACACACACCCUGAACAUCAGGCACAGGGUCUCCUGGGGAAAGGUCCCCUGGUAAUACCCACACCCGGCUGCAGCAGGGCAAGGGUGGGCAGCACCCUGCCAGGCAACUCAGGCAGCCCCAGGCUCCACUGUGAGCCCUUGCUGCCCCUUUCCUUCCCACCUAGCCUCAUGCUGGCUACCCUGCCCCCUGCCCAGCCCCGUACCUGGGCUCAGGCACACGAGUAGAAGGUGGAAUGCUCCUCCAACUCUCAUGUCUCUAGGCUCGGUGUUUCCUCCGUCUGGGCUGGGUAUCCCGUGGGGUCGUAGUGGUGGGUGUGAGGGGGUAGGUGGAGGGAGGGGGAGCUGAGGGCCCAGACACUGCCUGGGGUGGCAGGAAGGUGCAAUGAGUGCCCAGCUGGGGAGCAGCUGGAGUUAUUUCUAUGGGAGGGAGGGGGCCUGGUCCCCGCCUUGGGGAGGAGUCCCAGGAACCCUAAUUAGCAGGGUGACAGGGUGGCCUACCUGGGCAUUACCCAGCCCUCACCCAAGCUCUUCCCUGUCCUAAGAGUGGCACAGGACAGCCAGCGGGACUUGUAAUUAGGCACCUGUUAAACUUCACUUCCUCCUGGCCACAUCCUCAGGGUGACAACAGUCACCUCAUUUACAGCUUCCAAGGGCUCCCCUCACCACUCAUUUGCUGCCUCCUUCCCUGGGGGAAGUGGGGAAGAGGAAGGAGAAGCCAGGCUUGGGAGAAAGAGUGGCCAGGACCUGAAGAGUUAAUCCUGAUCCCAGGGCAUAGGGUUCCCCAGGAGUGUCCAGCCCACCUUCCCCCAGGCUUCAGGCCUUUCAAAGGGACUCAGGCCUCCUGAGCUGAAAGAGGAGAGAAGGGGUGUGUGCAGGAACAGAGUCUCCUCCUGGCUGUCCCCUCUGGAACUGUCCUCCACACCCAUACUCGACUCAAGGCCAUCCCCAAGUGUAGGGGACCCCUGGGAGCAGGGGUGCUAUGGGGGGUCCAGGGUGUGUGCUAGGAGUAAGGUGACUGAUGGGCUAGUGAGGGAGUGUUGGAGAGAACAGCGCCAAGAGGACCAGGGAAGGGGGUGCCUGUGUAAGCGUGUGCACCCCUCAGCAAUGUCUGUGGGAGGGAGGCAGGAUGUCUGUGUCAGGGUGUCUCUGUGAGGAUGGCUAAGCCCCUCUGAGUGAACUUCUUGAGGGAUCGCUUGGUGUCCUGGCUUCUCUGCCCAGAAAGAGUAGCCAGGUCUUGAGGGUUAAUGCAGUCCCAGUAUUAACUGGGUCCUUGAGACCAAGGACCCUCAUAACCUGGACUGGUCAUCGGGCUGACUAAACCAGCACAGUUCUGGGUAAGUUCGUGCUGGGGUGGGGAGGGUCCUGGUAGGCAUGGGGAGCAAGUGAAGGGCCACCCCUUGUUGGCUUGUCUAAGGGGGACAGAAUGGGCAUGUGCCUUGUUGGACUCCAUGGUGGGAGUCAGGACAUGAGUGACCCCAUUCAAUAGCUCAACUCCCUCAAAGGAGUCAGGGACUGCCCCCAUCCCUACCAUGGGGCACAGAAAGGGCAGAGGAGGAAGAGUGUUAGGGAGAGUUAUGGGGCUCAGGGAUGCUGCCAGGGCCCACCCCUCUGGGGAAAAAUAAGUCAGAACAUUAAGGAAACACAAGGAGUCCACGCGUCUCUGCAUUCCAAGCCGUUGCACCUGAACUCCCAACAAUAACAGGGCGCUCUGAGACCUACCAGAUGUACACAAUGAAUAUCUUUAUUUCCUUAUUUAUUUUUAGGUUUAUGGGAUUGUCCUGCUCCCUUUGAAGAGCAGGGAUCAUUAUCCCCAUUUUACAGAUGGGGAAACAGAGACCUGGAGAAACAUGGGGAUUCAGCCAAUGCGGCUGGUGCCUAAGCUGGGAUACCCAGGUACCCAGGGUGUCAGUCCAGAGAGGUCCAAAAAAUGGUCUUGGUGAUCCUGUGGAUUACUAGACCCACUCACGAACAAGAACCAUGGAAGGUCAGGGUGAGUGGGAGGGAAAACAGGUCAGACCACGAACAGAGAGAUUGAGGAGAAAGCAGUAACAUUGUGGUUCCACUAAACUACAGUGCAGGCUUCAGAUUUAAUUGGGUUCUGGAUGUGGGCUAAUGUUAGAGCUGGGGUUAAGUUUGGGGUUAGUUGAAUUAUGAAUGAGGUUGAGGUCAGAUUUGAGGUUGGGAUUAGAGUUAAGGUUGGGAUUAGGGUUAGAAAUACAGCUAGAAUUGAGGCUCAGGUUUAUGGCUGGGAUUUGUGUUACGAUAAGGAAUAGAGUUUUAGUUUCAUUUACAGCUCUGCCUGGGAAUACAGUUAGGGCUAAAUCAAAGGCUGGGUUUAGAUUGAUUUAGCAUUGGGUUAGAACUAAGUUUGAGAUUCACAUUGAAAUAGGCUGUGGUUAGGGUUGGAACAUGGUUUAAAGACACGUAAGCAGCGGGAGUUGAUGGGGAUCAAAGAUGAGGUUUUAUUUCUAAUAUAGAAAGACUUCAGCCUCCAUCUGCUAAAUCCAGGUUUGGCUAGAAUUUUCAAUCCUUAGUGCGGGGAGACUACUAAUGGCACAUGUUGAUUGGGGUCCCAAGACUUGGAGGAGGAAGCCAAAUGUACACGAGCCCAUCUAAGGGGUAUGAGGCAACUAAAUCCCAUAGAGAAUGGACCCUCUGAAGUCCUGCUCCACUACUAAAGCUCACCACCUGGCCAAGCUCCAGAAAAACAUCUGGGGAGGAGACGCAGGAAGCUACUGACAAUGAGUUGGGCUCUGACACCAAACCGAACUAGAAGAUGGGGUCCAUCAGAGGGAGUCUUACUGAGUGGGGAGGAGGGGUGGUCUGGAUUUGGAGUCCUUAGGAGAUGGGAGUUGGGAGAAACUGAGGGCCUACAUGCUCCUAGAACAGCCACUUUAUGGGGCACCACAUGGGGGUCUUUCAAAGCCUGAAAGGGCAGAGUGCCAUUGUUGUUUCCCCUUGACCCUCUGAGGCUUAAUUGCUACCUUCUUGCAAUUUGAGUCCUAUAAAAGAAGCUGUCAGCCUUCCAGCCCUAAACCCUGAGCCCUGCAGGGUUUUCAGGGAGGGCAGCAGUGGGGAGGCUGUGGAUGGGGUGAAGGCACUGGGGUGUCAGCAUAGUUUCCAAAGCAUAUGUCACAGUCCUACAGUCCCCUCCCUCUGGGCCCAGCUCACAGUCCGUGUAAGUCUCUGGGCCUUAUCCUCAGCAGUGGAAGAGGGCCCCACUCCUAGGAAGACCCCGUCCCAAUUCCUCCCUCUCAUUUUUCCCCAACCAGUCUCCAGCCCAAACAUCUCAUUUCCCCACCCACUUCCUUUUCAGGUUUUAUAAAGGUCUGGUCCAGGAGACUACUGGGGUUCCCCCUGUGACCCCAGAGAGAGAGAAGAAAGAGAUUGGGAGAGAUAGUGAUGAGUUAAGGGGCAAAGACAGAGACAGGGACAGAGGCAGACAGAAAGACACAUGGUCUAAAUGGCCCCUCCAGAGACUCAGAGGGAUACAGAGGAGGCAGAGGGCCCAGGCCACGAGCUGGGAACCAAUACAAAUUUCCAAAAGGGCCCCUUGCUUUUUCCUAAGAAAUCCAUGACUCUCCAGGGAAGAAUGGCCCUGCUUUGACUGGUAUUUGCUUCUAUUCUAAGACAGUAACAGAAAAUCAAAGACUGGCUUAGAAAGGAGUAAACAGGGAGAUACAGGAGGUAGGAAGAGGCUGGACAAAAACUCAGAGAAGGCCACAGAUUGCUUACCAGAUGAAGUGCAGCCCAGCCCCAGAACCUUUCUGGGAAGGACGGACAGAGGGCUUGGGCUGCCUACUCUUCCUCCAAAGCCUAUUCUUCCUCCAAAGUCCCUUUCAUGGCAACUCCACCCCACUCCUCUAAGCCCUGCCCUCCCCUGCCUGUACUUGCCCACCCCAACCCCUCUCAGUGGCCGCCAGACUCCCUGGGCUCAGGCUCAAUCAAGCUCCCCACAACCCCUGCCUUGGCUGGCACUGCAAUUUGACUCAUUCUAAACUCCUCCCCACACAGUCAGCAAGCUCCUCAGCCCCCUCUCCCAAGUCCCCAUGUAGCCCAGGGCUCACCCUGCAGCACCCAGGGAGGAGCUGUCCUGCAGAGGAAACCUCUGAGGUAAGACUCUGGGAGCAGAAGCUGUGAGUGACAAUGGAUAGGCAAAGAGUCACAGAGAAGCCAAGGAGCCUUGCAGCUGCUGUCUGUCCACCCAGCUUUCAGUGAUGAUUUGGAGGUGGAGGUCUGCCAGGUGAGGCCAUGGUUGCAUGAGAAGGGCAGGGGGCUCAGAGGUUGCAUGGGUGGUGAUGGGACAACGUCGGAUUCUGGUUACAGAGAGGGAUGAGAUCGACAUGUGGGGCUAAGUUUGAGGGUGUGGGUUGGGUUCGAAACUAAGGCUCAAAUCAAAGCUGGCAGGGAAGAGCCGUGAACACAGGUGACACAGGGACUCCCCAAGCUCCUGCUUAGGUUUCCCAAACCUCAGUGGUUCUGACUGGUACACUUCAGAAGAAGUGGGAUUCUAGGAGGAGCCUGGAUAUGCCCACAUCUCUCCCAUCAAGCAAUGUCCUGAAGCUGACAGACUCAGAAGAGCAAGCAGCACACACAUAGUCCCCAUCAAUUAAAGGAGUGGCUGGAGUUGUCACUACAUCAACAAAGCACAAGAGCAAAGGGAGGCGAUUGAAUGCCACCAACUGAAUUGUUAGCAAGAGAAUGAGUGGAGGCGAGAAGAAAUCGCUUGUAAAGGCUAUGUGAUUCCCUGAUGACAGAUCUGAGGAAGAAUGAAGAGGCUUUGAAGAUAAAGGUAUCUUCACCUCGCCAAGAUCAACCACAUCCUGCAGAACCUUCAUUCAUUCAGCAAACAGCCAGGCUUUGUGCUAGGCCCUGGGGAAAUGGCAAUUAAGGAGACUCAGUCCCUAUCCUCACAGAACACCCCAUCUGACACGGAAAUAGCUCCUGGCCCGCAAUGUGGUAAGAUGCAGUAAUACGUGCAAGGCCCCUGACUUAGUGGCAAUGAUGUUUAAGCCGAGAUCUGAAGGAUAACUAACAACGGCGUGCCAGAGAAAAGAGUAGCGGGUGGAGAGAGGAGGCCAGGGGAAUAUUUCUGGGCUUGGUAAGUAAGCCAGGUCCCUGCCAGACAUGGACUGAGAAGAGCAAAGCCAGGAGUGACAGCUGACGAUUAUUUUUUAACUGAGGAAGGAAGAUCCUUGAGAACGGAACCUCUUGGGACCUUCUACCCAGAACACCAGAGCACCUCACUGGGAUCAGAGCCAGGCCAUCGGGUGGAUUAAGCAACUAAAAUUGAUUGUCCUGAACCAUGAGUCUGUCUGUUUAUGGGGAGAGAAACUUUGAGAUGAAUUAAUCCACAGGUCCAAUGGGACUUUGACAUUUUAAUUUGUAGAAAUAAAACUUGCCUUUGAUUUUGCCAUCUGGAUUCCCCAAACACGUAUCUACAGAGUGGAACUGUGGUGCCCCUUGACCUGCAGGGUGGCCCCAGGCCUGCCUUGCCCCGCUGGCAGUUGCCCAGGAAGGUGUGUAGGAG
rnacentral:lncRNA from 10 species